UCGGCGGCCGCCGCCUGCCGGGGGAGCGGCGGCUGCACGGCUCGGGCUAGCGGGGCUGCGGCGUCCCGUCUCGGCGGGCACGGAGGCGGCCGCUGCCUCUCCAAGGAGGAGUCCAGAACAUACCUGUAGAGCUGUGGCUUCUCUUUCUCCAAGCUCUGCCAAAGGUCUGGAUUCCUUGACAAAACCAAGGCAUGUGUUUGGGGCAUACUCUCAGCAACGGGUUUGGAGUUCCUACAAGCUGUGAUCUCUGAAUUGAUCGUGUAAGAUUAGUUGCUCAGUUAAUUAUUCUUUUGAUUAUUUAUUUAAGUACUUGAAUCUAUGUUCUUUAGAGGCAAAAUAAAACAAUGAACAGAUCUCUACCUUCUCCUCUUUGCUUCAAAUUAGUUUGCAUUAAGCUCAAAGGCAUUGUACCACUUGUCAAGCUGGCGAUACAACAGUUAUUUUAAUUUGAAAAUAAUGUUGUGCAAACAAUGAGGACUUCACCAAGAGGUUUACAUUUUUCUGCUUAAAAGUGGUUUGGGUUUUUUUUUUUUGCUGGUCUCUGAUCAAGUAGAAAAAGAGUGUGGUUUUAACUUAGCCUGUUUAAAGGUCCCCUCUCCAUUUUAGUUUGAUUCUGCUAAGUAGUUUGGCCUUGUGGAGCACAGCUUUCAUGUGAAA